UACGAAGGGGGCUAGCGUUGCUCGGAAUCACUGGGCGUAAAGCGCACGUAGGCGGCUUUCUAAGUCAGGGGUGAAAUCCUGGAGCUCAACUCCAGAACUGCCUUUGAUACUGGAGAGCUUGAGUCCGGAAGAGGUGAGUGGAACUCCGAGUGUAGAGGUGAAAUUCGUAGAUAUUCGGAAGAACACCAGUGGCGAAGGCGGGUCUCUGGACAGUUCCUGACGCUGAGGCACGAAGGUCAGGGGAGCAAACGGG
rnacentral:rRNA from 1 species